rnacentral:misc_RNA from 1 species
AAUUCGCAGAAGCUUUCAAUACUACAUAAGAGAAAACGAUGGCAGGGAGCUUUGCAUCCUUUCACACUCUGCAACUCCAAGAGAAUUGAGCAACAAAAAGGGAAAGCGAAGACAAGUGAGUGACUAGAAAAUGAAUUUAUAUAUACAAGAGAUGAUGAUCGUCAUAGAUACCAAGACACUGAUAUGGGGAUAGCAAAACCACCGCUCCCUCCAAUUCUCUCUCACUCCAAGAUUCACCAGUCGGUUGCUCCAUUAAUUCCACCCAAGUCUAAUACAGCAAAUUAUUCUAUGUCCCAAGACUACCAACAAGCAGGCG